rnacentral:rRNA from 1 species
CAGUCGUACGCUUCUUUUUCCCCGGAGCUUGCUCCACCGGAAAAAGAAGAGUGGCGAACGGGUGAGUAACACGUGGGUAACCUGCCCAUCAGAAGGGGAUAACACUUGGAAACAGGUGCUAAUACCGUAUAACAAUCGAAACCGCAUGGUUUUGAUUUGAAAGGCGCUUUCGGGUGUCGCUGAUGGAUGGACCCGCGGUGCAUUAGCUAGUUGGUGAGGUAACGGCUCACCAAGGCCACGAUGCAUAGCCGACCUGAGAGGGUGAUCGGCCACAUUGGGACUGAGACACGGCCCAAACUCCUACGGGAGGCAGCAGUAGGGAAUCUUCGGCAAUGGACGAAAGUCUGACCGAGCAACGCCGCGUGAGUGAAGAAGAUUUUCGGAUCGUAAAACUCUGUUGUUAGAGAAGAACAAGGAUGAGAGUAACUGUUCAUCCCUUGACGGUAUCUAACCAGAAAGCCACGGCUAACUACGUGCCAGCAGCCGCGGUAAUACGUAGGUGGCAAGCGUUGUCCGGAUUUAUUGGGCGUAAAGCGAGCGCAGGCGGUUUCUUAAGUCUGAUGUGAAAGCCCCCGGCUCAACCGGGGAGGGUCAUUGGAAACUGGGAGACUUGAGUGCAGAAGAGGAGAGUGGAAUUCCAUGUGUAGCGGUGAAAUGCGUAGAUAUAUGGAGGAACACCAGUGGCGAAGGCGGCUCUCUGGUCUGUAACUGACGCUGAGGCUCGAAAGCGU